rnacentral:rRNA from 1 species
GAUGAACGCUGGCGGCGUGCCUAAUACAUGCAAGUCGAGCGAACAGACGAGGAGCUUGCUCCUCUGACGUUAGCGGCGGACGGGUGAGUAACACGUGGAUAACCUACCUAUAAGACUGGGAUAACUUCGGGAAACCGGAGCUAAUACCGGAUAAUAUAUUGAACCGCAUGGUUCAAUAGUGAAAGACGGUUUUGCUGUCACUUAUAGAUGGAUCCGCGCCGCAUUAGCUAGUUGGUAAGGUAACGGCUUACCAAGGCGACGAUGCGUAGCCGACCUGAGAGGGUGAUCGGCCACACUGGAACUGAGACACGGUCCAGACUCCUACGGGAGGCAGCAGUAGGGAAUCUUCCGCAAUGGGCGAAAGCCUGACGGAGCAACGCCGCGUGAGUGAUGAAGGUCUUCGGAUCGUAAAACGCUGUUAUUAGAGAAGAACAAAUGUGUAAGUAACUAUGCACGUCUUGACGGUACCUAAUCAGAAAGCCACGGCUAACUACGU